AUUGAACGCUGGCGGCAGGCCUAACACAUGCAAGUCGAGCGGAUGAAGGGAGCUUGCUCCUGGAUUCAGCGGCGGACGGGUGAGUAAUGCCUAGGAAUCUGCCUGGUAGUGGGUGAUAACGUCCGGAAACGGGCGCUAAUACCGCAUACGUCCUGAGGGAGAAGGUGGGGGAUCUUCGGACCUCACGCUAUCAGAUGAGCCUAGGUCGGAUUAGCUAGUUGGUUGGGUAAAGGCCUACCAAGGCGACGAUCCGUAACUGGUCUGAGAGGAUGAUCAGUCACGCUGGAACUGAGACACGGUCCAGACUCCUACGGGAGGCAGCAGUGGGGAAUAUUGGACAAUGGGCGAAAGCCUGAUCCAGCCAUGCCGCGUGUGUGAAGAAGGUCUUCGGAUUGUAAAGCACUUUAAGUUGGGAGGAAGGGCAGUAAGUUAAUACCUUGCUGUUUUGACGUUACCAACAGAAUAAGCACCGGCUAACUUCGUG
rnacentral:rRNA from 1 species